rnacentral:rRNA from 1 species
AUUGAACGCUGGCGGCAUGCCUUACACAUGCAAGUCGAACGGCAGCACGGGAGCAAUCCUGGUGGCGAGUGGCGAACGGGUGAGUAAUAUAUCGGAACGUGCCCAGUCGUGGGGGAUAACGUAGCGAAAGCUACGCUAAUACCGCAUACGAUCUAUGGAUGAAAGCGGGGGAUCGCAAGACCUCGCGCGAUUGGAGCGGCCGAUAUCAGAUUAGGUAGUUGGUGGGGUAAAAGCCUACCAAGCCUUCGAUCUGUAGCUGGUCUGAGAGGACGACCAGCCACACUGGAACUGAGACACGGUCCAGACUCCUACGGGAGGCAGCAGUGGGGAAUUUUGGGACAAUGGGCGCAAGCCUGAUCCAGCAAUGCCGCGUGCAGGAUGAAGGCC